rnacentral:rRNA from 1 species
CAACGCUGGCGGCGCGCCUAACACAUGCAAGUCGAGCGAGAAAGGGGCAACCUGAGUAAAGCGGCGUACGGGUGAGUAACACGUGGAUCAUCUGCCCUCUAGUGGGGAAUAACUCUGGGAAACCGGAGCUAAUACCGCAUAAGUCCGAGAGGAGAAAGCAGCAAUGCGCUGGAGGAGGAGUCCGCGGCUGAUUAGCUAGUUGGUGGGGUAAAGGCUCACCAAGGCAUUGAUCAGUAGCCGGCCUGAGAGGGCACACGGCCACACUGGCACUGAGACACGGGCCAGACUCCUACGGGAGGCAGCAGUGGGGAAUCUUGCACAAUGGGGGAAACCCUGAUGCAGCGACGCCGCGUGAGCGAUGAAGCCCUUCGGGGUGUAAAGCUCUUUCGACGGGAACGAUAAUGACGGUACCCGGAGAAGAAGCUGCGGCUAACUACGUGCCAGCAGCCGCGGUAAUACGUAGGCAGCAAGCGUUGUUCGGAGUUACUGGGCGUAAAGAGUACGUAGGCGGUUUGCUAAGUCUGGUGUGAAAUCUCCUGGCUUAACUGGGAGGGUGCGCUAGAUACUGGCAGGCUUGAGUAUGGGAGAGGAGAGUGGAAUUCCUGGUGUAGCGGUGAAAUGCGUAGAUAUCAGGAGGAACGCCGGUGGUGUAGACGGCUCUCUGGACCAUUACUGACGCUGAGGUACGAAAGCGUGGGUAGCAAACAGGAUUAGAUACCCUGGUAGUCCACGCCCUAAACGAUGCGGACUUGGUGUAGGCAGUUCAGUCUGUCUGUGCCGGAGCU